AUGGAGAUCUUGGGUUCAAUCCCCAGGACAGAAAAAGGAAAAAGGAAAAAAGAAAAAAGGGUGAGACUUCACAUGGCCAAUGUCCUUUUCUCUUCCAGGACUGAGAACUGGGGCUUCCUGAAAGACUACGACCCCAUGGGCAACAGGAAGCAGCCCAAGCAGCUGCCGGAGCAGGUGCCUUCCCUCUCGGACACCGUGCCCCACUCCAGCAGCCGGGUGGUGGGCAGCAGGCUGGACACGCCGCUGGGCAGAGACCUGGUCCACAUGGACUUCACAUUCGUGGAAGGGACACGCAGGAAGAGGCCGGGGACCGGGCUGCACCCAGCGUAGGAUGGGGUGCCACCUCGGCAGGUGGGUGCAGGGGCUCGGAACACCUGUCCAAAGUCGGACGUGGCGGGGCACGCCUGUGAUUCCAGCACUUGGGAGGCUGAGGCAGGAGGAUCUCCUGAGUUCAAGGCCAGCCUGGGGUGCAUAGUGAAAAACAAAACGAAGCAACAAAAGCCCACCCCAAACAGAGCAGCCUCUUCCCUCCUGCCUCCAUUCCCUCCAAAAUCCUUCUGAGAUAGGAAAACGGCUGGCUGCAGUGGCUGUUUGCUUGGACCCCGGCCUGGGUUUUGUUUGUUUGUAUUUGGUACCGGGGAUCGAACUCUGGUCUUUGCGCUUGCGCAGCAGGCGGCGAAACCACUGAGCUAAAUCCCCGGCCCUGGCCUGGGUUUGAUUCCACCCCACAGCGAGCCUUCAGCGCCACGGUCCCGCACGCACCACCUCAGCUCACCCUCUCGGGCUGCGUUUCUGUGCCCCGUGGGCGAGGAGACCAGAGAAGUCAAGUCAUCUCGGAAGUCACACAGUUGGCUGCGGUGGAGCUGGGGUUCGAACUCGAGUUCGGCUCCAGGAACCCCAGGACUGAGCAGAGGCCGAACCUGAGGCAGCUGAGCGCCAGUGACUGUCAGCCGAGCUGCAGAUGGCUGUAGGCAUUUUUGCUUAAAAACCCUCUCUCUCUCUCCGGCCCUUUAUGGAGACGGGUUCUCUAAGUCACUAAGUUGGCCAGCCUGUGCUGGAGCUUGGGAUCCUCCUGCCUCAGCCUCCCAGAGUGCGGGGAUGACGGGCUUGCGCCACCACGCGGGGCCGGGGGUGGGUGGGUUCUGCCCCAAGGUUCCUCGGUCCCCAGCGAUGCCAGUGACCUCGCCACCCCAUUCCGGCUCGCGGGGCCCUGUCUGCGGCUGGGCAGACCGG
rnacentral:lncRNA from 1 species